UACGUAGGUGGCAAGCGUUGUCCGGAUUUACUGGGCGUAAAGAGCGCGCAGGCGGUCCUUUAAGUCUGAUGUGAAAGCCCACGGCUCAACCGUGGAGGGUCAUUGGAAACUGGGGGACUUGAGUACAGAAGAGAAGAGUGGAAUUCCACGUGUAGCGGUGAAAUGCGUAGAGAUGUGGAGGAACACCAGUGGCGAAGGCGACUCUUUGGUCUGUAACUGACGCUGAGGCGCGAAAGCGUGGGGAGCAAACAGG
rnacentral:rRNA from 1 species